GGGCUGCUUUCAAGCUCUGCGUGUGGUGAGGGGGUCACCCAUCCUGCAGGCAGAUGGACUGGACCUUCCUCAGUAAGGUACCACCAGCUCUUGCCCACGAACAAUCGAUAAAGCACAGGGGUGAAUACAGAGCUGGACAGCCCCUGCAGCGGGUGCUGGCUGGCAGCUGCAGAGCUAGGACACACAGCCUCACCACCUGACAGCCUUCUUCAUUGCAGAAGGUGCCCAGGAAGUCUCCAGCUGUGACAAUUUGCAGGGGAACCAUGAGACAUCCCAAUGGGGGGAGUCCCACGUGUCAGGAGGUGUUUGGAGGUGACCCAGGGCAGAAGACAACCAAGUGGGCUCUGACUCAAGGUUUGAGGGGAAUCUUUCAGUUUUGCUUUCAUUAACCUAUGAAUCCUGCUUACAGCAACUGUGGCUGCCAGGCAUCCCCAAACGGAGCUGCUGCUGGAUGGACAUAAACUUUGUCUUGAUGUGGAGAGGAAACAUGUCUAAGAGGCUGGACCAUGCUGGCAGACCUCCAAGGCCUUAUGCUGAUUUGCCCAGGUGGAGACUCCAACCUGUUAUUGCUGUCUGGGAAAACCAGAUCUGUGUGUCCUUGAGAAGAACAUAUAGAAGGUCAGAGUGUGGACUGGGGAAAAAUGGACCAGAUCUACCUCUUCUGCUUCCCUCUGUGCUUGUGAAGGGUAGAGCAAAGCAUUGACUUAGGAAGGCAGGGUGAGCCUGUGGAAAUCAGAUGCAACACAGAGGAGGAGGAGGAGGAAGAGAAAGAGGAGGAGGAGGAGGAAGGACAUAGGGUCUUCAGUAUCAGGAGGGAAAUGUGGAACCUCAGCUUUCAAAAGUCAUCCAGUUGGGCUCACACUCCAGCUCACACUGGCUGGAGAAACAAGUCUUCAUACACAGAAACAAACAUUCAAAACAAAUAAAAAAGUAUUUUAAAAUAUUGUCCUGUCUGGCUUCUCCAGAUGUGUUUUUUAGUGACUCUGGAGGCGCCUUUUUUCUGGAGUCCUGUGCUCCCAUUA